CGUCCCUCCCACCCGCAACCCUCCCCUUUCCCACUCCCUCUCCCCUUCCAUUCACAUCAAGAUUCAUUUUCGAUUCUCUUUAUAUACAGAAGAUCAGCUUAGUAUAUAUUAAGUAAAGAUUUCAACAGUUUGCUCCCACACUGAAACAUAAAGUGAAAAAUAAUAGAUGAUUUUUAAAUGAUGAUGAAAUCAGAUCAGACCUAUUGUCAUGUUUAAUCCCAGUGAGAGUCAAGUUGGGAAUUGAUAAUUUCUUUUUUUUUUUUUUUACAGAAGAUCAGUUUAGUAUGCAUUAAGUAAAGAUUUCAACAGUUUGCACCCCCAUAGAAACACAAAGUGAAAUAUACUGUUUGAGUACUCGUUAUAGCAUUAAAUCUCAAUACACAGCACAUUAAGGACAGAGAUCCUACAUGAGGAGUAAGUGCACAGUGACUCCUGUUGUUGACUUUACCAAUUGACACUCCUGUCUAUGGCAUCAGUAAUCUCCCUAUGCUCCAGUCAUGAGUUUCCAAGGCUAUGGAAGCCUUCUGAGUUCUCCGACUCUUAUCUUGUUUAGACAAGGUCAUAGUCAAAGUGGAGGUUCUCUCCUCCCUUCAGAGAAAGGUACCUCCUUCUUUGAUGACCUGUUCUUUCCACUGGGAUCUCACUCGCAGAGAUCUUUUGCCAGAGUGUCUUGGCUUUCCAUGCCUGAAAUACUCUCAUGGGCUUUUCAGCCAGCUCCGAAUGCCUUUAGGGCUGAUUCUGAGGCCAGAGUGCUAUUUAGGACAUCUGCCAUUCUAUGAGUCUGCUGAGUAUCUCACUUCCCAUGUUGGAUCACUCUCCCCUUUAUUUACUCCAUCAGUUAGCGUUAGCAGGUACUAGACUUGUCUAUGUGUUCCCUUUGACUCCCAGUCCCUUCACCAUGACCAACUGUGAACUGAAACUGAUCACCUGGAA